AUACUUAUCUGGCAGGGGAAAUCCAUGGCUUUCCCAGGACAAUACAUUGUACUCCAAAUGGGCCUACCCCUGAGGUUUCCCCAAAUGCAGGGAUUUAAAUAAAUAAUUUGUGGUAAUAGGGGACUGAAUAUGUGCUUUUCUCUA
rnacentral:snRNA from 1 species